GAUGAACGCUGGCGGCGUGCCUAAUACAUGCAAGUCGAGCGAACAGACGAGGAGCUUGCUCCUCUGACGUUAGCGGCGGACGGGUGAGUAACACGUGGAUAACCUACCUAUAAGACUGGGAUAACUUCGGGAAACCGGAGCUAAUACCGGAUUAUAUAUUGAACCGCAUGGUUCAAUAGUGAAAGACGGUUUUGCUGUCACUUAUAGAUGGAUCCGCGCCGCAUUAGCUAGUUGGUAAGGUAACGGCUUACCAAGGCAACGAUGCGUAGCCGACCUGAGAGGGUGAUCGGCCACACUGGAACUGAGACACGGUCCAGACUCCUACGGGAGGCAGCAGUAGGGAAUCUUCCGCAAUGGGCGAAAGCCUGACGGAGCAACGCCGCGUGAGUGAUGAAGGUCUUCGGAUCGUAAAACUCUGUUAUUAGGGAAGAACAAAUGUGUAAGUAACUAUGCACGUCUUGACGGUACCUAAUCAGAAAGCCACGGCUAACUACGUG
rnacentral:rRNA from 1 species